GACAGAGGUCCCAAGCGUUCGGCGGAAUCACUGGGCUUAAAGCGUGUGUAGGCGGAUUUGUAAGUACCUUGUGAAAUCCCACGGCUCAACCGUGGAACUGCUUGGUAUACUGCUUAUCUUGGGCCAUCUAGGGGCGAGCGGAACAAACGGUGGAGCGGUGAAAUGCGUAGAUAUCGUUUGGAACGCCAAUGGUGAAAACAGCUCGCUGGGGAUGUGCCGACGCUGAGAUACGAAAGCCAGGGGAGCGAACGGG
rnacentral:rRNA from 1 species